rnacentral:tRNA from 1 species
CGGGGCGUGGCUCAGCCUGGUAGAGCGCUUGGUUCGGGACCAAGAGGUCGCUGGUUCGAAUCCAGUCGCCCCGACCA